UCCAAGGUGAACAGCCUC
rnacentral:snRNA from 1 species